rnacentral:lncRNA from 1 species
ACAAACAUGCCUAGCGGCAUAUUUUUUCUGUUUGUUUUGUGGGUCGUGUCAAACGUGAUAAAAUCACCAAAAUCCUUGCACUCAGCUCUUUGGCUAGCGGGGCUCCAGAAUCUAUUCCUAAGAACCUUUGCUUUCAGAUCAAAUCCACAUCCCAGUUUAAGUACUCGUUGCUCACCUUGCACUCUCUAAAAAACUGAAAAAGCUUGUCCAGAUCACCAUCCCUGUCC